GCAAGUCGAGCGCGAAAGACACCUUCGGGAGUUAAGUAGAGCGGCGAACGGGUGAGUAACGCGUAGGCAACCUGCCUUUCAGAUUGGGAUAGCGUCGGGAAACUGGCGGUAAAACCGAAUAUAACCGGACUGUCACAAGUCAGACUGGUGAAAGCGGGGGACUCUUCGGAGCCUCGUACUGAAAGAUGGGCCUGCGUACUAUUAGCUAGUUGGUAAGGUAAUGGCUUACCAAGGCAAUGAUAGUUAGCCGACCUGAGAGGGUGAUC
rnacentral:rRNA from 1 species